AUGAAUUUAUAUACACAUUUUUUGGAGACUAAUGUACGAAUUAAUAACACAUUUGAAGGGGAGAGUAGUUUCAGUUUCACCUUCCGUGAGCCACCCGAGGCCUCGGCCAGGCACGGCGAGCAUAGACGUCAUCCGCGCCGCGGCGGUGGCGCUGUGCAGCGGCAGCAGGGACUCCACGCAGAAGCUCGCCUCGACGGGCGACCUGCACAACGAACAACGCCGUUACAAUCAUCAGUCCACAUCUGGCUAGUUGAGGGGGGCAUGGCCGACUGGUGGCCGAGGUCGUACCUGAGGAGGCGAGGGGGCGCGCCCAACGCGCGGCGAAGGGACGGCCGCGCCGCAGAGGAAGAGGCCCUCGCCGGAGCAGCGCGGAGGAGAGAAGCGGACGAGCGGAGCAUCGACCUGGCGGCGGCGGCCAUCGUGGCUGGCUUGGUGAGACGGGAGGAGGAGGAAGAGUGGAGACGGUUUCCGCUUUCCGGCUAG
rnacentral:rRNA from 1 species